rnacentral:rRNA from 1 species
UACGUAGGGUGCAAGCGUUAAUCGGAAUUACUGGGCGUAAAGGGCGCGUAGGCGGUCUUUUAAGUCUUGUGUGAAAUCCCUCGGCUCAACUGAGGAACUGCACGGGAUACUGGAAGACUUGAGUUCGGGAGAGGGAAGCGGAAUUCCACGUGUAGCGGUGAAAUGCGUAGAGAUCGAGAAGAACAUCGGUGGCGAAAGCGCUCUGCUGGACUGCAACUGACACUCAGGGACGAAAGCUAGGGGAGCGAAUGGGAGUUA